CCAGUAGUCAAGUGGAGAAAACUAGGCUAAAAGUUAAUGAUGGAAAUACUUGGUCAGUGUGGUAAAUCAUCAGUAGUGAGUGGGGAAUGUUAGGUAACCUGACAUUUAGCUUCAAGGAGUCAGGAAUAGAUUCACCAUAGUCUCUGCUCAAUGACCUGGCUUCCUGAUCAGAGUCCAGGUGAAGUAGUUCAGUCUCAGUGGGUGUGAUUCUCAGUUACAGCCUAGCUUCUCAAAUGUUGAAGACGCUCAGUUUGGAACAUCAGAAGUGUUCAGGAUACAGAACUGUGAUGAGGAGAUGGACUAAAACAAUUAGUACUCAGGCCAGUAAAAUGAAAGUUGAGAAAAUUAUGAUUAAAGAACAAAAUAUUAGCAUUAUUUAGAGUCUCUGAAAGGACAAGCCUGUGCAUAACUACCCCCUCCCCCACUGGGGAUUGAACCCAGGGGUACUUACCACUGAGCUACAUCCCCACCCCUUUUUAUAUUUUAUUUUGAGACAGAGUCUCACUUAGUUGCUUAAGGCCCUUUUUAAGUUUCUGGGGCUGGCUUUGAACUUGUGACCCUCCUGCCUCAGCCUACUGAGUCACUGGGAUUAUAGGUGGGAAUUAUUGCACCCAGUU
rnacentral:lncRNA from 1 species